AAAGGAUUUUAUUUAAAGAAAAGGUAAAAGAAUCACCUCUGUGGAUGGUAAAUACUAUACAGGGUAAUCAGAUUCAAAACACAGAGGAUUCCCCUCCAGCCAAAACUUUAACGUUACAAAAAACUGGGAUAAACCUCCUGCUAGCAAAGGGAAAAUUCACAAGUUGAAAACAAAAGCUAAUCUAACGUGCCUUGCCUUACUUACUUACUCUUUUUGUAAUAUCAGAGACUUGUACAGGAUGGUUUAUAGGAGAAGGAGUUUUUUGACCUGAUGCUUCUGUUUUCCCCAGGGAACACACCACAAAGCCUUCUUCCCACCCCCCCAAGAUUUGAAAAUAUCUUCUUUUCUCAUUGGUCCCUUUGGUCAGGUGCCAACCAGAUUAUUUGAGCUUCUUAACCCCUUACAGCUGCUCCAUGAAACAUUCACUCACUCUCCUGGAGAGGCUGCUUUUGCUUCCUGCUGAUAAUGCAUAGCAUCUGCUUCAAACUGGAGGAGCACUGUAUAAACAUUACUCAUCCUCACUACAUCUGCAGUUUGCCAGAGGGGAAUCUGAAACUCUAUGUCUGGGUGACUUGCUCAAGGCUACGCAGGAGCUCCUGGCUACCGUUACCUACCCUACAUAUCUACAGAGACUUCAUAGCACUAGACAGAUAAUAUAUACUGUAGGUCUUCCAAACCUGUGUUCCCGAUGCAAUGAUGAUUGGAAUGACCUAUGAUGGAUGCUCUGGAGUUGUUCUGAACAUCUCAAGACAUUUUUCUUCUCCAAAUGGCCCUAGGUGUGUUGACAUCCUGAGCAAAGAAGAAAUUUGGUGUCCUUGUCACCCCUAAAUACAUCCCAGAAUACUUUUCAUCAGUUAUAGAAGUGAUCUCAAUAAUGGCUUUAGGAACUCUUUUUAGCUCUGCCCGCUUCUUGCCUGGAACUCAGUUACCAUGAUAGCUCCAGCACUAACCCUAACCCUGACAUUCCCUUAGAUGUGAUGUUCUACAUAAUCACCUGUAUCCUUGAACCUAAAGCCAGCACUCUAAUUUCAAGAAGGAAUGGAUCUCGAUCAUGUUUGUUUCUUGAUGAUCCCCAUGACACCUGAACUACCUUUUGUAGAGGUUGGCCUAGAUGACCACAUGGAGACAUCUAAGCAUUCAUUGGAAGUUAUUUUUCAAGGGAAAUAAUUUUAUUCUUGUAGCUUUAAUUUGCUUUGGUAUUGCUUGGCUUAAGUCUUGCUGCCCAUGCUGUCAGUUUCCUGAUAAAUUGAAUAAUGUUCUUAGCAUAUGGAGCCCUUUUUCUUCAUAUUGUAUCCAUUACCAGGCUUUGCUCUCUUGUUUUGUAUGUUGCCUUGAUUCAGGAAAACACUUUAAGCAUGUGCUUGAACAUCUUUCCUGAAUAGGAAAGCUUUUGCAAUAGGGCCUGUGUCUGCAACAUUUGCUUGGCCAUGCCAUACUAUUUUAUUCUCCUACUCCAUUGCAAGCCUGUGCUACAUGAUUCCAUGUUGAGGGCUUAAUCCUGUAGAGUGCGGAGUGCUCUCCACAGCUCAGUUGGGGCCGAGCCAGAGAAGGAGGCAGAUGUCUCAAGCCCUCUGCAGAACUCCAGCCUAGGCCCUGAGUCACUACACCCUGCCCCCGAAGAGGACUGAGGAUGGAGAGGAGGUACUGGAACUACCAUUGGCUGUCUACCCAGAAGCUGUGGAGGAUGUGUGGCCAACUGAGCUGAGCCAAUGGAUUGCAGUAGGAAGUAGCCCAGGAGAACCAGAUAUUAGUCUGGUUGUGCUGCCAGGAAGCGAGUCAUUGUGAUUUGGUGGGAUCCCUGCUGAUCCAGUGGUGGAACCACCCACCACUGCUAGGGCCCUAAGCUGGGACCCAGUGGAGUAGGGUGGACCUGGGACCCCCUACCCCCCCGCUACCAACCCAACAGCUGGCAUUUGGCCACAUGCUUAUCUUAAACCUUUAGGCCUGAAGUCUCUUCUUGCUAUCUGUCCUAACCAAGAGGUUUUGGGCUAAAGACUGUUCCUUGCUCUGCCCUGCCCAGAGGGUCAGAACACUAGACUGCUAACUACUGUCUGCCCCAGCCAGAAGACUAUGGCUGUAGACUGUGUGUUACUCUGCCCUGCCCAGAGGACCAGAGCCAUACACUGCUAACUGACUGCUGUUUGUUGCCUGACGCAGUGAGUCAGAGUGGCCUCCUUCCAAGCCUGAGAUGGAGGGAUCACUACAGCUUCCUAUGCUAGAAAACAGUAAAGAGAUGCACAGUAUAUAAAAGAAAUGGAAGCUAGAAUGAUCACAAUGUUAUUGGAAAUAAAAAAUGCUCUCGUCCUA